rnacentral:lncRNA from 1 species
UGAUGGUCUGCCUUGAUGACUUAUGGGGACACCUGUCGGGGGUUCUGCUAGACAGAAAGAUGCAGGGCGCCCCUCACGCACGCAAACUCUAGCUCUCACACCCAGACGUGCUCCAAACAUUCCAAAGGAGCCAAAAACGACGUCUGGCUUUUCCGCGGCGCCUCCUGGCCCUGGCGGUGACUCCGAGGUGGCGCUUUCAGGGUGGGCGCGAGGGAGAGGAAAGCCCCUGGCAUCCUCACCCCCAGGGCCAGAGGGACAGCGGGUGCCCUCCGCCCCGAGUCACCUGCGUCUUGAAUUCUGGCCCUCCAAGGAGAGGGCAAUGCCUGAGCCCACGGAAGUUGGGUCAGGGGCAGCAUUGGAAGUCAGAGCCUGCAAUGCUCACGUAAAUGCAAAAGAUGGUUCCUUCAGUGCCAGUAAGAAGGGUGUCUUGAACAUGAGGAAUACAGCAGCAAGCAAGACAGAGAGGUGCCUGCUUUCUGGGGAGACAACAAACAGAUAAAUAAGCACGACACUGUCCUGCCAAGCUAAGUGACAUCAAUGAAACAAGGCAAGGUAAUAAGAAGAGGCUGGGAAAAGGCUUAGCUGUGAUUUUGCUUUCUGCAGUUUGAGUUGCCUAUGUUCAACCGAGGUUCAAAAAUAUUAAAUGGAACAUUUCAGAAAUGAACAAUCCUAAGUUUAAAUUGCAUGCCAUUCUGAGCAGCGUGAUGAUAUCUUGCGCCAUCUCUCCCAGUCCUGCCCCGGGGAUGAAUCAUCCCUUUGUCCAGCCUGUCCACACUGUACAUGCUCCAGGCCCGUUAGUUACUUAGUAGCCAUCUCAGUUUUUCGGAUGACGUCGAGGCAUGGCAGGGUUUGUGUUCAAAGUCACCCUUAUUUUACUUAACAAUAGCUUCAAAUCACAAGCAUAGUGAUGCUGGCAAUUUGGAUAUGCCAAAGAGAAGCUACAAGGUGCUUUAAGGGGAAAAGUGAAAGUUGUGGACUUAAUUAGCAACCUUAGCUGAGGUUGCUAAGAUCUGUGAUAACAAGGAAGCUUUGAUUCAUGAAAUUGUGAAGAUGGAAAAAAGAAAUAUAUGCUAGUUUUGCUGUCACACCUCGGACUGCAAAGUAAUGGCCAUGGUGCGUGAUAAGAGCUUAGUUAAGAUGGAAAAGGCAUUAAUUCUGUGGAUAAAAACAUGAAGAGAAAUGUGUUCUGAUUGAUGGCAAUAAGGAUCAGUAUUAUCCGUGGUCCCAGGCAUGCAUUGGAGGUGUUGGAAUGUAUCCCCCAUGGAUAAGGAGAGACUAUUGUAUCCUUGAUUGGGGCAUUGCUACAUGGAUGUAUACAUUUGGCCCAACUCUCCAAACUGAACACUUAAGAUAGGUGUGUUUCAUUGUACGCACAUUUUUCAACAAAAAUCUUUUCUAUAUAAGAAGAAUAGCUGGGAAAGGAAGACAUUAACUAGGGUGAUCAGGAUGGUCUCUUUGCAAAGGGGACAUUUGAGCUGAGACCUGAAAAGUGAGAAUGAACUAGAAGGAGUUAGCCACGCCAGGAUCUUGUCUCUUCCUACCAAGAUGCUGCAGGCAGAGGAAACGCUGCAUUGGAAGGGCCCCCGGUGAGAACGCAAUGAGGGCAUGGGGAGACCGUUGUGAGGAAAGGGAGCAGGAGGGCAGGUACCUUGGAGUUGACAGCCAUGUGCUCAGAGGAGAAUGAAGCAAACCAAGCAAAAGCCAACCCCAAACACCCAAUGGCCUGAGCUCCUCAGAGCAAGAAAAGUCAAGUUGAAUAUCUCAGAUGGGGCCGUCAGAGAAUGGAGAUGACCUCAUCCACAGUGGGACAAGUUGGAGCAAAUCACUUGGGUGGAAAGCAAGGAAAUAGAGGGGCAAUUUCAGCAUGUCCCUCAGGCUUCCACAGAGGAAGGUUUGGCCUUCCAAA